rnacentral:rRNA from 1 species
GACAAACGCUGGCGGCGUGCCUAACACAUGCAAGUCGAACGCUCUUGCGCAAGCGAGAGAGUGGCGGACGGGUGGGUAACACGUGGGUAUCUACCUUGAGGUGGGGAAUACCAUUGAGAAAUCAGUGACAAUUCCUCAUAGGUUCGGAGACGAGCAAAGCCUCGCGUAUGCGAGACGCCUCAAGAUGAGCCUGCGCCUGAUUAGUCCGUUGGUGGGGUAAUGGCUCACCAAGACGACGAUCAGUAGCUGGUCUGAGAGGAUGAUCAGCCACACUGGG